rnacentral:rRNA from 1 species
UACGUAGGGUGCAGGCGUUAAUCGGAAUUACUGGGCGUAAAGGGCGCGUAGGCGGCCUUCUAAGUCGAACGUGAAAUCCCCGGGCUCAACCCGGGAACUGCGUCCGAUACUGGGAGGCUUGAAUCCGGGAGAGGGAUGUAGAAUUCCAGGUGUAGCGGUGAAAUGCGUAGAUAUCUGGAGGAACACCGGUGGCGAAGGCGGCAUCCUGGACCGGUAUUGACGCUGAGGAGCGAAAGCCAGGGGAGCAAACGGG